rnacentral:rRNA from 1 species
CUACGGGGUGCUCCAGUGAGGAAUAUUGCACAAUGGGGGGAACCCUGAUGCAGCAACGCCGCGUGGAGGAUGACGCAUUUCGGUGUGUAAACUCCUUUUAUAUGUCAAGAAAAUGACGGUAGCAUAUGAAUAAGCGCCGGCUAACUCCGUGCCAGCAGCCGCGGUAAUACGGAGGGCGCAAGCGUUACUCGGAAUCACUGGGCGUAAAGGACGCGUAGGCGGGUUGAAAAGUCAGGUGUGAAAGCCUACAGCUUAACUGUAGAACUGCACUUGAAACUCUCAAUCUAGAGUAUGGGAGGGGAAGAUGGAAUUAGUGGUGUAGGGGUAAAAUCCGUAGAUAUCACUAGGAAUACCUAAAGCGAAGGCGAUCUGCUGCAACAUUACUGACGCUAAGGCGUGAAAGCGUGGGGAGCAAACAGGAUUAGAUACCCCAGUAGUC